rnacentral:rRNA from 1 species
CAGUAGCCGCGGGAAAACGAAGGGGGCUAGCGUUGCUCGGAAUGACUGGGCGUAAAGGGCGCGUAGGCGGCGGCCAAAGUCAGGCGUGAAAUUCCCGGGCUCAACCUGGGGGCUGCGUUUGAUACUUGGUUGCUUGAGUGGGGAAGAGGGUCGUGGAAUUCCCAGUGUAGAGGUGAAAUUCGUAGAUAUUGGGAAGAACACCAGUGGCGAAGGCGGCUACCUGGACUGACACUGACACUGAGGCGCGAAAGCGUGGGGAGCAAACAGGAUUAGAUACCCGCGUAGUCCCUGUCUCUUAUAC